AGUGAACGCUGGCGGUAGGCCUAACACAUGCAAGUCGAACGGCAGCACAGUAAGAGCUUGCUCUUACUGGUGGCGAGUGGCGGACGGGUGAGGAAUACAUCGGAAUCUACUUUUUCGUGGGGGAUAACGUAGGGAAACUUACGCUAAUACCGCAUACGACCUACGGGUGAAAGCAGGGGAUCUUCGGACCUUGCGCGAUUGAAUGAGCCGAUGUCGGAUUAGCUAGUUGGCGGGGUAAAGGCCCACCAAGGCGACGAUCCGUAGCUGGUCUGAGAGGAUGAUCAGCCACACUGGAACUGAGACACGGUCCAGACUCCUACGGGAGGCAGCAGUGGGGAAUAUUGGACAAUGGGCGAAAGCCUGAUCCAGCCAUACCGCGUGAGUGAAGAAGGCCUUCGGGUUGUAAAGCCCUUUUGUUGGGAAAGAAAAGCAGCAGGUUAAUACCCCGCUGUUCUGACGGUACCCAAAGAAUAAGCACCGGCUAACUUCGUG
rnacentral:rRNA from 1 species